UACAGGGGGGGCAAGCGUUGUUCGGAAUUACUGGGCGUAAAGGGCUCGUAGGCGGCCAACUAAGUCACACGUGAAAUCCCCAGGCUUAACCUGGGAACUGCGUGUGAUACUGGAUGGCUUGAAUCCGGGAGAGGGAUGCGGAAUUCCAGGUGUAGCGGUGAAAUGCGUAGAUAUCAGGAGGAACACCGGUGGCGAAGGCGGCAUCCUGGACCGGCAUUGACGCUGAGGAGCGAAAGCCAGGGGAGCAAACGGG
rnacentral:rRNA from 1 species